rnacentral:rRNA from 1 species
AACGAACGCUGGCGGCAUGCCUAACACAUGCAAGUCGAACGAGACCUUCGGGUCUAGUGGCGCACGGGUGCGUAACGCGUGGGAACCUGCCCUUAGGUUCGGAAUAACUCCCCGAAAGGGGUGCUAAUACCGGAUAAGGUCUUCGGGGCAAAGAUUUAUCGCAUUUGGAUGGGCCCGCGUUGGAUUAGCUAGUUGGUAGGGUAAAAGCCUACCAAGGCGACGAUCCAUAGCUGGUCUGAGAGGAUGAUCAGCCACACUGGGACUGAGACACGGCCCAGACUCCUACGGGAGGCAGCAGUGGGGAAUAUUGGACAAUGGGCGAAAGCCUGAUCCAGCAAUGCCGCGUGAGUGAUGAAGGCCUUAGGGUUGUAAAGCUCUUUUACCCGGGAUGAUAAUGACAGUACCGGGAGAAUAAGCCCCGGCUAACUCCGUG